AUGGUCUUAACAUGGAUGAAGCUUUGGUACAGACUCAAUAUCAAGCUCAGUCAACUUCCUAGGUUUGGGUCAAAAACCCAGAGGCUUCAAGAACUUGCUCUUAAGCAGUCAUGGAAGUUGAUUCUAGUGACACCAUCAAUUCCUAAGGCUUUGGUGAGGAGAUUUUCUUUUAAAUAUUAUUUUAUUGGUUUAAAUUACAAAAAUUGGUAUGUUUUAGGGUUUAUUGGGGCGCAGGGUUUCCUAAUGUGA